CCAGGCUGGAGCAGCUUGUGAAGAACUGCAGCCUGUGAGAAGGGCUCAUGUUGAAGAAGUUCGUGGAGGACUGUCUCAUGUAAAAGGUACCACCACUCU